rnacentral:rRNA from 1 species
GAUGAACGCUGGCGGCGUGCUUAACACAUGCAAGUCGAACGGAAAGGCCCAAGCUUGCUUGGGUACUCGAGUGGCGAACGGGUGAGUAACACGUGGGUGAUCUGCCCUGCACUUCGGGAUAAGCCUGGGAAACUGGGUCUAAUACCGGAUAGGACGAUGGUUUGGAUGCCAUUGUGGAAAGUUUUUUCGGUGUGGGAUGAGCUCGCGGCCUAUCAGCUUGCUGGUGGGGUAAUGGCCUACCAAGGCGUCGACGGGUAGCCGGCCUGAGAGGGUGUACGGCCACAUUGGGACUGAGAUACGGCCCAGACUCCUACGGGAGGCAGCAGUGGGGAAUAUUGCACAAUGGGCGCAAGCCUGAUGCAGCGACGCCGCGUGGGGGAUGACGGCCUUCGGGUUGUAAACUCCUUUCGCUAGGGACGAAGCGUUUUUGUGACGGUACCUGGAGAAGAAGCACCGGCUAACUACGUG